GGGCUAGGACUACUUAAAGACUGAGCCCAGGGAGGGCUAUAGACACCACCUGAGGGGUACUGAGAUGGGUCCAGGUGGAUGGUAUACCCUGGAAGGGGUAUGUUUUGGUUCACAUGCAGAUAGUGUGUGUGACUUGGCAGGAGGGCUGAGUUGCUGGGGGAAAAAAACUGCCUGAGAACCUCUGAAAGGGAUCACCAGAACUAAAAGGACACAGACACAUCCAACCAGACUGGCUGCUUGAAAAGAUUCUACCAUAGCAGUCUGGGCACAAGUCCAACAUUUAUAAAUGAAAACUUCUUCAUGCAGCACAGCGUCAGCAUCACAUAUCAGCAACUAAAAUACUAUCCCUCUGUCCUGAAUCCAGACUUUAGAAUACACCAUGACAACAAGCUGCUUCUUUCAAUUUAGCAAUACAGCAGAAGUUUGUUUGUGUAGGAAGUGGAAGCAUCUCCGACCAAUGAGCUUUCACUGUGGGCGUGGCCCCAGGCAGAGAAGAGUCUCAGUUGGAAACAGGAACUGAAAGCUGUGAUCCUGCCAACAUUUAUGCAAGUGAUACUUCUGCAGGUGCC